ensembl:lncRNA
CGCAAUCCCAUACUUGGGCCUUUCCAGCUUCCUCAGUUUCAAACUAAGCGUAAAGAUACUGAAUCCUAGUUUCAGUUUCUCCUGUAGCGAGUUAUGGCUCAUAGAAGAGAAGAAAACAUAUUUUUGCUCAGGAGUUGAAGCAGGAAGCUUGCAGUUUUCGGACCAUUGUGGAUGUACCUCGUGUUUUGGACUGAAACACUUUACUGGAUUAUAUUCGCUGGACCCUAACGGACAGAAUGACACCAAACACGAGGUGAAUGGACGAAGUAUGGGGUUCAGACAGUCGUCAAAAGACGGACCAGUCUGGGAGUGUGAGCCGAUGGUCACGCUCAGAUGGCUACGGUGACGCCACAUCCACUGUGGGUGAACCUGGGAACAAACCAUCAACACUGGCCUCUUAUCGUUCACGUCAAGUUCCUUGUUUUUCUUCCACACAGCUUCAUUUCAGGAUGAACAUGCACAGAGGCAGAAGCACACGGCGGCCAGACAUGCUGACACACCAAGCAGGAGAUACAGAACCGAAGCGACGCGUCCGCGUCUGGAGCCAUGUUAGUGGAGACCACAGGUAUCGCCUCAUGGAAUGAGGCCUGAAAACAAGCCUGCGCCGCAGAGUCUCCGGCCGCUGGUGGAAGCAGAGCUGAGACGGGGCCAGACGCUGGCCGGAUCGGAACCUGCAGGCCUUCUCUCCUCUCCGCCAGCAGAGGUGAUGUUUUCCCAGGUUCCGGAGCGCGGCUAUAAAUCAACUGUGGCGCCGAGCAGAUUUUUAUCCAGCCUGUGCUACUGGAGGAAGUUCUGCAGGAGCCCCGUCGGCUUCCGCGGGGGAGAUAAGUGCACAAUUUUCAUUCUGAGGAAGAAACAUUAGGGACAGAACCUGCACAUCCACUUCUGUCUGAGGGAGUGCAGCUUCAUGGUGAACGUGCCCUGUUAAAAAUGACUGUGUCAGCACUUUAUUACAAUGAAGACAAACCAGCACAUAAUACAAACAACCUCCGCUGCUUCACUUUAGGAAACCUGAAAAGAUUUAAUUACCCAGAAAAUGUCCCGAGGACUUUCUGCCAACAUACAAAAGCAUCUGUAAUGUUUCAUUCCAACAAAUAUGGAAGUUAAUGUUUUUUUAAUCGAUACAAGUGUUUCCCCUGAUCUAUAAAACACAUCUGGACAUUUUCCCUGUAAUGAAUUCACAGUAAUGAGCUGUGUGCAUCCUCUGCUGAUUGGUCUGAACCGCAGCAUUGAUCAUAGCUCACAGGGUAAACAGUGCCUCACGCACAGCAUUACUGUGUGUGCUCAAUAACCGCUCACAUCAUUCUCAUCUCAGAGGGAGCUGAGAAAUUAAAAAAAUGCCAUUGGAUCUGGAGUUAAGCUGCGACGUGAAAGACUAAAAACAGUAUGUGACGCUGAGGAAGCACCCGGAGGACGAACUGCUGCGUCUCCCUUUACAAGGAGGGUGAUGACUGAUUAGUGUAACCUGUCUAAUUACCCACAGUGCACUGUGGGCUCGUCGGCCUGUGACUCGUCGAGUCGGAUGUUUUUACACUGAGAUCAAACUGGAGAAAACACAAAGCAACACUAACGGCUCAUUAGACC